rnacentral:rRNA from 1 species
AACGAACGCUGGCGGCAUGCCUAACACAUGCAAGUCGAACGAGACCUUCGGGUCUAGUGGCGCACGGGUGCGUAACGCGUGGGAACCUGCCCUUAGGUUCGGAAUAACUCCCCGAAAGGGGUGCUAAUACCGGAUAAUGUCUUCGGACCAAAGAUUUAUCGCCUUUGGAUGGGCCCGCGUUGGAUUAGCUAGUUGGUAGGGUAAAAGCCUACCAAGGCGACGAUCCAUAGCUGGUCUGAGAGGAUGAUCAGCCACACUGGGACUGAGACACGGCCCAGACUCCUAAGGGAAGAAGCAGUGGGGAAUAUUGGACAAUGGGCGAAAGCCUGAUCCAGCAAUGCCGCGUGAGUGAUGAAGGCCUUAGGGUUGUAAAGCUCUUUUACCCGGGAUGAUAAUGACAGUACCGGGAGAAUAAGCUCCGGCUAACUCCGUG